rnacentral:rRNA from 1 species
CAUGGGGGAUAACGUAGCGAAAGUUACGCUAAUACCGCAUAUGCCCUGAGGGGGAAAGGUGGGGAUCGCAAGACCUAUCGUUUUCGGAGUGGCCGAUAUCAGAUUAGCUAGUUGGUGGGGUAAAGGCCCACCAAGGCGACGAUCUGUAGCGGGUCUGAGAGGAUGAUCCGCCACACUGGGACUGAGACACGGCCCAGACUCCUACGGGAGGCAGCAGUGGGGAAUUUUGGACAAUGGGCGCAAGCCUGAUCCAGCCAUGCCGCGUGAGUGAAGAAGGCCUUCGGGUUGUAAAGCUCUUUCGGCCGGGAAAAAAUCGCUUGGGUUAAUACCCUGAGUGGAUGAUGGUACCGGAAUAAGAAGCACCGGCUAACUACGUGCCAGCAGCCGCGGUAAUACGUAGGGUGCGAGCGUUAAUCGGAAUUACUGGGCGUAAAGCGUGCGCAGGCGGCUAUACAAGACAGGCGUGAAAUCCCCGAGCUUAACCUGGGAACUGCGUUUGUGGCUGUAUGGCUAGAGUACGGCAGAGGGGGGUGGAAUUCCA